rnacentral:rRNA from 1 species
UACGUAGGGUGCAAACGUUAUCCGGAAUUAUUGGGCGUAAAGAGCUCAUAGGCGGUUUGUCGCGUCUGCUGUGAAAACUGGAGGCUCAACCUCCAGCCUGCAGUGGGUACGGGCAAACUAGAGUGCGGUAGGGGAGAUUGGAAUUCCUGGUGUAGCGGUGGAAUGCGCAGAUAUCAGGAGGAACACCGAUGGCGAAGGCAGAUCUCUGGGCCGUAACUGACGCUGAGGAGCGAAAGCAUGGGGAGCGAACAGG